CGAUGAAGGUCUUCGGAUCGUAAAGUUCUGUUAUUAGGGAAGAACAACCAGUCUAGGAAAUGAUGCUGGUAUGACGGUACCUGAUCAGAAAGCUCCGGCUAACUACGUGCCAGCAGCCGCGGUAAUACGUAGGGAGCAAGCGUUAUCCGGAAUUAUUGGGCGUAAAGCGUGCGUAGGCGGUUCGUUAAGUCAAAUCUGAAAGCCCACAGCUUAACUGUGGAGGGCGAUUUGAAACUGGCGAACUUGAGUACGGCAGAGGUUAGUGGAAUUCAAUGUGUAGCGGUGGAAUGCGUAGAUAUAUUGAGGAACACCAGUGGCGAAGGCGGCUAACUGGACCGGAACUGACGCUGAGGCACGAAAGCGUGGGUAGCAAACAGGAUUAGAUACCCUGGUAGUCCACGCCGUAAACGAUGAGAACUAAGUGUUGGGGUUACCCAGUGCUGAAGCUAACGCAUUAAGUCCUCCGCCUGGGGAUUACGACCGCAAGGUUGAAACUCAAAGAAAUUGGCGGGUCUCCGCACAAGCGGUGGAGCAUGUUGUUUAAUUCGACGAUACGCGAAGAACCUUACCAGGGCUUGACAUCCCAGUGAUCGCUAUAGAGGUAUAGCUUUCCUUCGGGACACUGGUGACAGGUGGUGCAUGGUUGUCGUCAGCUCGUGUCGUGAGAUGUUGGGUUAAGUCCCGCAACGAGCGCAACCCU
rnacentral:rRNA from 1 species